CCUACGGGCGCAGCAGUGGGGAAUAUUGGACAAUGGGCGAAAGCCUGAUCCAGCCAUGCCGCGUGUGUGAAGAAGGCCUUCGGGUUGUAAAGCACUUUCAGUGGGGAAGAAAGCCUUGGGGCUAAUACCCUCGAGGAAGGACAUCACCCACAGAAGAAGCACCGGCUAACUCCGUGCCAGCAGCCGCGGUAAUACGGAGGGUGCGAGCGUUAAUCGGAAUUACUGGGCGUAAAGCGCGCGUAGGCGGUCUGAUAAGCCGGUUGUGAAAGCCCCGGGCUCAACCUGGGAACGGCAUCCGGAACUGUCAGGCUAGAGUGCAGGAGAGGAAGGUAGAAUUCCCGGUGUAGCGGUGAAAUGCGUAGAGAUCGGGAGGAAUACCAGUGGCGAAGGCGGCCUUCUGGACUGACACUGACGCUGAGGUGCGAAAGCGUGGGUAGCAAACAGGAUUAGAUACCCAGUAGUC
rnacentral:rRNA from 1 species